rnacentral:rRNA from 1 species
CGCAGUCUGAUGGAGCACGCCGCGUGAGUGAAGAAGGUUUUCGGAUCGUAAAGCUCUGUUGUUGGUGAAGAAGGAUAGAGGUAGUAACUGGCCUUUAUUUGACGGUAAUCAACCAGAAAGUCACGGCUAACUACGUGCCAGCAGCCGCGGUAAUACGUAGGUGGCAAGCGUUGUCCGGAUUUAUUGGGCGUAAAGCGAGCGCAGGCGGAAGAAUAAGUCUGAUGUGAAAGCCCUCGGCUUAACCGAGGAACUGCAUCGGAAACUGUUUUUCUUGAGUGCAGAAGAGGAGAGUGGAACUCCAUGUGUAGCGGUGGAAUGCGUAGAUAUAUGGAAGAACACCAGUGGCGAAGGCGGCUCUCUGGUCUGCAACUGACGCUGAGGCUCGAAAGCAUGGGUAGCGAACAGGAUUAGAUACCCUGGUAGUCCAUGCCGUAAACGAUGAGUGCUAAGUGUUGGGAGGUUUCCGCCUCUCAGUGCUGCAGCUAACGCAUUAAGCACUCCGCCUGGGGAGUACGACCGCAAGGUUGAAACUCAAAGGAAUUGACGGGGGCCCGCACAAGCGGUGGAGCAUGUGGUUUAAUUCGAAGCAACGCGAAGAACCUUACCAGGUCUUGACAUCUAGUGCCAUUUGUAGAGAUACAAAGUUCCCUUCGGGGACGCUAAGACAGGUGGUGCAUGGCUGUCGUCAGCUCGUGUCGUGAGAUGUUGGGUUAAGUCCCGCAACGAGCGCAACCCUUGUUAUUAGUUGCCAGCAUUAAGUUGGGCACUCUAAUGAGACUGCCGGUGACAAACCGGAGGAAGGUGGGGAUGACGUCAAGUCAUCAUGCCCCUUAUGACCUGGGCUACACACGUGCUACAAUGGGCAGUACAACGAGAAGCGAGCCUGCGAAGGCAAGCGAAUCUCUGAAAGCUGUUCUCAGUUCGGACUGCAGUCUGCAACUCGACUGCACGAAGCUGGAAUCGCUAGUAAUCGCGGAUCAGCACGCCGCGGUGAAUACGUUCCCGGGCCUUGUACACACCGCCCGUCACACCAUGGGAGUCUGCAAUGCCCAAAGCCGGUGGCCUAACCUUCGGGAAGGAGCCGUCUAAGGCAGGGCAGAUGACUGGGGUGAAGUCGUAACAAGGUA